rnacentral:rRNA from 1 species
CAGCCGCCGCGGUAAUACGUAGGUGGCAAGCGUUGUCCGGAAUUAUUGGGCGUAAAGGGCUCGCAGGCGGUUUCUUAAGUCUGAUGUGAAAGCCCCCGGCUCAACCGGGGAGGGUCAUUGGAAACUGGGAAACUUGAGUGCGGAAGAGGAGAGUGGAAUUCCACGUGUAGCGGUGAAAUGCGUAGAGAUGUGGAGGAACACCAGUGGCGAAGGCGACUCUCUGGUCUGUAACUGACGCUGAGGAGCGAAAGCGUGGGGAGCGAACAGGAUUAGAGACCCCGGUAGUCCCUGUCUCUUAUAC